rnacentral:rRNA from 1 species
GGAACUUAAGCAUAUCAAUAAGCGGAGGAAAAGAAACCAACAGGGAUUGCCCUAGUAACGGCGAGUGAAGCGGCAACAGCUCAAAUUUGAAAUCUGGCUCUUUUAGAGUCCGAGUUGUAAUUUGCAGAGGGCGCUUUGGCAUUGGUAGCGGUCCAAGUUCUUUGGAACAGGACGUCAUAGAGGGUGAGAAUCCCGUAUAUGGUCGCUAACCUUUGCUGUGUAAAGCCCCUUCGACGAGUCGAGUUGUUUGGGAAUGCAGCUCUAAAUGGGAGGUAAAUUUCUUCUAAAGCUAAAUACUGGCCAGAGACCGAUAGCGCACAAGUAGAGUGAUCGAAAGAUGAAAAGCACUUUGGAAAGAGAGUCAAACAGCACGUGAAAUUGUUGAAAGGGAAGCGCUUGCAGCCAGACUUGCCUGUAGUUGCUUAUCCGGACUUUUGUCCGGUGCACUCUUCUGUAGGCAGGCCAGCAUCAGUUUGGGCGGUUGGAUAAAGGUCUCUGUCACGUACCUCUCUUCGGGGAGGCCUUAUAGGGGAGACGACAUGCAACCAGCCUGGACUGAGGUCCGCGCAUCUGCUAGGAUGCUGGCGUAAUGGCUGUAAGCGGCCCGUCUUGAAACACGGACCAAGGAGUCUAACAUCUAUGCGAGUGUUUGGGUGUCAAGCCCAGACGCGUAAUGAAAGUGAACGGAGGUGGGAACCUUUUAGGUGCACCAUCGACCGAUCCUGAUGUCUUCGGAUGGAUUUGAGUAAGAGCAUGGCUGUUGGGACCCGAAAGAUGGUGAACUAUGCUUGAAUAGGGUGAAGCCAGAGGAAACUCUGGUGGAGGCUCGCAGCGGUUCUGACGUGCAAAUCGAUCGUCAAAUUUGGGCAUAGGGGCGAAAGACUAAUCGAACUAUCUAGUAGCUGGUCCUGGCCAGU